GCAUAAUUUGUAUGUGCAUGAUGCAUAUGUCUGAAAAUGAAAUGCGUCCGGUUAAUCGACUGCGCUGAUGGAAUGAAAGCAAACAACUAGGUCUGCCACCAUCGACCUGCCACCUAAUCAAGAGAUUUGGUGGGCUUAGGAGGUGCCGACUGCUGAUUGUGUUUUGAAAGAGCCACUGGUGGUGAGGACCUCAACAAUGCAAGAGCCAAUCUCCAAGUCUUUCAAUACUCCGGCGAGCAAGAGAACACAGUCGGAGGUUGCGACCUCCGAAUCAAGACAGCAACCCAAAAGGAGGAGAUCCAGUGUCUGUAGUGCUCAGCUGAUGGCUCAAGAAGAAAAACUGCAGAAAUUGAAGCUUGUUAGCCACUACAGGAAGAAUCAUAGCCUGCCGCAGCUGGAGCGGCUGACACAGUGCUGGACGAGGGCGGCCCAGCAGGCGCUGCGCGACCUACAGCAGCGGCUGCAGAGCCGUGAACAAGACGUCGCCAUGGCGGAUCUCCUGCGACACAUGGGCGUCGACCCCAAGCUAGUCAUGUAUGAUGCUGAGACGGACAGCUUCUCCGGAGCGGAAGAACAAUAAACUGUGUGAACGGCUGUAAUUCGUCCGGCAGGUGUCGAUUCAUCGCAAAUGAGUGCCCCACAGAACGGAAAAUUUGUUGAAGGUUUGUGUGGUAAGUUUCUUUUCUGUGGAUGUAUGGGCAUUUUGUCCGCAUCUAAAAGUAGCGAUAGGAAAAGCUGUUUCCGCCCGGGCUCGAACCGGGGACCUUCCGCGUGUGAAGCGGACGUGAUAACCACUACACUACGGAAACGAUGAGGGUGUGGGCCGCUAACGGUGUACGUAAUAAUCGCGAAGUAGUAUUGAUGUAUUGGUCAUACCUUUCUACUGGGCAAGCCAUAUUUGUAUGAAUACAUUUAA